AUAUCAAUAAGCGGAGGAAAAGAAACUAACAAGGAUUCCCCUAGUAACUGCGAGUGCAGCGGGAAAAGCUCAAAUUUAAAAUCUGGUAGUCUUUGAUUGCCCGAGUUGUAAUCUAGAGAAGCGUUAUCCGCGCUGGACCGUGUACAAGUCUCCUGGAAUGGAGCGUCAUAGAGGGUGAGAAUCCCGUCUUUGGCACGGAUGCACCAGGGCCUUUGUGAUGCGCUCUCGAAGAGUCGAGUUGUUUGGGAAUGCAGCUCAAAAUGGGCGGUGAACUCCAUCUAAAGCUAAAUAUUGACGAGAGACCGAUAGCGACAAGUA
rnacentral:rRNA from 1 species